GAUGAACGCUAGCUACAGGCUUAACACAUGCAAGUCGAGGGGCAACGGGGAUGUUAGCUUGCUAAUAUCUGCCGGCGACCGGCGCACGGGUGAGUAACGCGUAUGCGACCUGCCCGUCACAGGGGGAUAAUCCGGAGAAAUCCGGUCUAAUACCGCAUAAUAUCGUGAAUCUGCAUGGAUUUGCGAUUAAAGGAGCGAUCCGGUGACGGAUGGGCAUGCGUGACAUUAGCUAGUCGGCGGGGUAACGGCCCACCGAGGCGACGAUGUCUAGGGGUUCUGAGAGGAAGGUCCCCCACACUGGUACUGAGACACGGACCAG
rnacentral:rRNA from 1 species